ACAUACGACCAUAGACUGUGGAGAACAGGGCUUCCCGUCCGCUCAGCCGUACUUAAGCCACAGGUCGGGCGGUUAGUAGUUGGGUGGGUGACCACCAGCGAAUCCCGUCUGUUGUAUGUU
rfam:Phaeomoniella chlamydospora PC4_TCR_scaffold_v01_49, whole genome shotgun sequence.